GACGAACGCUGGCGGCGUGCUUAACACAUGCAAGUCGAACGAUGAAGCCUAGCUUGCUAGGUGGAUUAGUGGCGAACGGGUGAGUAAUACGUGAGUAACCUACCUUUAACUCUGGGAUAAGCCCGGGAAACUGGGUCUAAUACCGGAUACGACCAAUCUCCGCAUGGGGUGUUGGUGGAAAGCGUUAUGUAGUGGUUAUAGAUGGGCUCACGGCCUAUCAGCUUGUUGGUGAGGUAACGGCUCACCAAGGCGACGACGGGUAGCCGGCCUGAGAGGGUGACCGGCCACACUGGGACUGAGACACGGCCCAGACUCCUACGGGAGGCAGCAGUGGGGAAUAUUGCACAAUGGGCGCAAGCCUGAUGCAGCGACGCCGCGUGAGGGAUGACGGCCUUCGGGUUGUAAACCUCUGUUAGCAGGGAAGAAGAGAGAUUGACGGUACCUGCAGAGAAAGCGCCGGCUAACUACGUGCCAGCAGCCGCGGUAAUACGUAGGGCGCGAGCGUUGUCCGGAAUUAUUGGGCGUAAAGAGCUUGUAGGCGGUUUGUCGCGUCUGCUGUGAAAGGCCGGGGCUUAACUCCGUGUAUUGCAGUGGGUACGGGCAGACUAGAGUGCAGUAGGGGAGACUGGAAUUCCUGGUGUAGCGGUGGAAUGCGCAGAUAUCAGGAGGAACACCGAUGGCGAAGGCAGGUCUCUGGGGCUGUAACUGACGCUGAGAAGCGAAAGCAUGGGGAGCGAACAGGAUUAGAUACCCUGGUAGUCCAUGCCGUAAACGUUGGGCACCAGGUGUGGGGAACAUUCCACGUUUUCCGCGCCGUAGCUAACGCAUUAAGUGCCCCGCCUGGGGAGUACGGCCGCAAGGCUAAAACUCAAAGAAAUUGACGGGGGCCCGCACAAGCGGCGGAGCAUGCGGAUUAAUUCGAUGCAACGCGAAGAACCUUACCAAGGCUUGACAUAUACUGGACCGCAUCAGAGAUGGUGUUUCCCUUCGGGGCUGGUAUACAGGUGGUGCAUGGUUGUCGUCAGCUCGUGUCGUGAGAUGUUGGGUUAAGUCCCGCAACGAGCGCAACCCUCGUUCUAUGUUGCCAGCACGUAAUGGUGGGGACUCAUAGGAGACUGCCGGGGUCAACUCGGAGGAAGGUGGGGAUGACGUCAAAUCAUCAUGCCCCUUAUGUCUUGGGCUUCACGCAUGCUACAAUGGCCGGUACAGAGGGUUGCGAUACUGUGAGGUGGAGCUAAUCCCUAAAAGCCGGUCUCAGUUCGGAUUGGGGUCUGCAACUCGACCCCAUGAAGUCGGAGUCGCUAGUAAUCGCAGAUCAGCAACGCUGCGGUGAAUACGUUCCCGGGCCU
rnacentral:rRNA from 1 species